AGUGAACGCUGGCGGUAGGCCUAACACAUGCAAGUCGAACGGCAGCACAGUAAGAGCUGGCUCUUACGGGUGGCGAGUGGCGGAUGGGUGAGGAAUACAUCGGAAUCUACUUUUUCGUGGGGGAGAACGUAGGGAAACUUACGCUAAUACCGCAUACGACCUACGGGUGAAAGCAGGGGAUCUUCGGACCUUGCGCGAUUGAAUGAGCCGAUGUCGGAUUAGCUAGUUGGCGGGGUAAAGCCCCACCAAGGCGACGAUCCGUAGCUGGUCUGAGAGGAUGAUCAGCCACACGGGAACUGGGACACGGUCCAGACUCCUACGGGAGGCAGCAGUCGGGAAUAUUGGACAAUGGGCGCAAGCCUGAUCCAGCCAUACCGAGUGGGUUAAGAAGGCCUUCGGGUUGUAAAGCCCUUUUGUUGGGAAAGAAAAGCAGCAGGUUAAUACCCCGCUGUUCUGACGGUACCUAAAGAAGAAGCACCGGCUAACUACGUG
rnacentral:rRNA from 1 species